GACGAACGCUGGCGGCGUGCUUAACACAUGCAAGUCUACGAGAACGAGGUAGCAAUAUCUUUAGUAAAGUGGCGUACGGGUGCGUAACACGUAAGUAAUCUACCUUUGGGUUCGGAAUAACUUCGGGAAAUCGGAGCUAAUACCGGAUAAUGCAGCGGCACCGCAUGGUGAUGUUGUUAAAGUUUGUGUAAUGCCUAAAGAUGAACUUGCGUCUGAUUAGCUAGUUGGUGAGGUAAUGGCUCACCAAGGCUGCGAUCAGUAGCUGGUCUGAGAGGAUGAUCAGCCACACUGGAACUGAGACACGGUCCAGACUCCUACGGGAGGCAGCAGUGAGGAAUAUUGGGCAAUGCCCGAAAGGGUGACCCAGCAACGCCGCGUGGAGGAUGAAGGUCGUAAGAUUGUAAACUCCUGUUAGAGGGGAAGAAUAACUAAGUUUGGAGCUUAGUAUGACUGUACCCUCAGAGAAAGCCCCGGCUAACUACGUG
rnacentral:rRNA from 1 species